rnacentral:rRNA from 1 species
UACGGGGGGGGGCAAGCGUUGUUCGGAAUUACUGGGCGUAAAGGGCUCGUAGGUGGCCAACUAAGUCAGACGUGAAAUCCCUCGGCUUAACCGGGGAACUGCGUCUGAUACUGGAUGGCUUGAGUUUGGGAGAGGGACGCGGAAUUCCAGGUGUAGCGGUGAAAUGCGUAGAUAUCUGGAGGAACACCGGUGGCGAAGGCGGCGUCCUAGGACCAACACUGGACACUGAGGGACGAAAGCUAGGGGAGCGAAUGGG